GAGAGGUGGCUGAGUGGUUGAAAGCGGCGGUCUUGAAAACCGUUAACCCGCAAGGGUUCGGGGGUUCGAAUCCCUCCCUCUCC
rnacentral:tRNA from 1 species